GGAAACAGCCAUCUAGAAACCGAAAUAAGCCGGAAAAAUCAAGCCAAGAGCUAGAGGGAGCUAGCACACUUCUUUCAGGUGGGACUGGGCUCGCGGUUCAAGUUCUGGCAGAGCCGGAUUCAUUUGGAGUGGCAAUCUGAUUUACAACCCCCAAUAUCAAGGCAGCUGCGGAAGCACAAGUCUUAAGCAUAUGCCCAAGAAAAAGGAACAGGAAGCGAUGGGAAUGUCAAAAGAGCCCUGGGGGACUUCAGCCAUGCGUUCCAGCUCUCUCUGCUGCACCCCGCCGCUCCCGCCGGCGUUGCUGUCGCUGCUACCACUGCCGCCGCUGCUGCCCUCUUCCAUGUUCCUGACCGCGCGGUUGCCACUCUGCCUUUGCUGUCCCGGCGGGUGCGCCUGGCGUUUGGAUCAAUGUGCCCUCCCCGAGGCCGCCCCGGCCAUCUUUGUUCCGGGCGGUGCCGUGGCUCAGACGCGAUUGGCUGGUGAGGGAAUCCCUGCGGUUUGUAAACUUCAACAUAGCUUGACUGGGAAGUCAUGGCUUCCGCGGCCAUACACAUUUGUUGAAGUAUCUUUGGAUUUGCCUUUUGGAAGAUACAGGUUCCUGGCCACUCCCUAGUCAAUCAUAUUUUGAGCAGUGCUGGUGCAAUGAGCUCUUCCUGAAGAACCCGGGAUGGCACCACCCACAACUGAGAAAAUGCCUUACAGCUGGAUCUCAUGGAGGGAUUUCCUCAACUGAGGCUCCUUCUUCACUGACGACUCUAGCUUGUGUCAAGUUGAACUUGGGGCAGCCUAAAUCUGUGUUCUGAGCUAUGCACAGUCACUCAUAUUUGGCUCUAGGACGAGCUAUCUUUUAUUGCUUUUGAAGUGAGAGCUGUGUUUUCGCACUGACAACAGGCUCCCCUGUCGUGUAAAAUGCUUAUUAAAUAAUAAUGUUUGCA